GGCAAGAUGGCCGAGUUGGUCCAUGGCGUCAGGUUAAGGUUGAUUGGUCGAAAUCUCCGCAUCCUGAUCUCCGCAAGGGGGCGUGGGUUCGAAUCCCACUCUUGUCA